UUCCUGGUAGCAGUUUCCGCUGCACCAAAUAGACAUAAAAACAGCGGGGGUUGCAAUGAAGGAUAUACAAAGAUAAUCAAUAAUUCGCAGUCAGGGGGCGGAUCAGGUGGUCAAUAUGGAAACGACAACUGUGAUGACAAUGGUGGCGGUCAUGGUGGUCUUAUGGAUUAUCCAA